rnacentral:misc_RNA from 1 species
AACGAACUUGUGUAUAUCCUUGAUAUAUAUCAAUUCAAACCCACUCUGUGUAUUAUUCCAUGUUGCUUCCAUGAGGCGUGAUUUGCUCAUACCACCUUUAGGCUUUCGAGUCUGGGAGGAGAGUCCUUGUGGAAGGUCUUCAUUAAACCACUUGCCAUCAAUGCUAUUAGUCUGACUGUUUAUAAAUUAAACAUUUA